rnacentral:rRNA from 1 species
AUGAACGCUGGCGGCGUGCCUCAUACAUGCAAGUCGAACGCUUCACUUCGGUGAAGAGUGGCGAACGGGUGAGUAAUACAUAAGUAACCUGGCAUCUACAGGGGGAUAACUGAUGGAAACGUCAGCUAAGACCGCAUAGGUGUAGAGAUCGCAUGAACUCUAUAUGAAAAGUGCUACGGGACUGGUAGAUGAUGGACUUAUGGCGCAUUAGCUUGUUGGUAGGGUAACGGCCUACCAAGGCGACGAUGCGUAGCCGACCUGAGAGGGGGACCGGCCACACGGGGACGUAGACACGGCCCAGACUCCUACGGGAGGCAGCAGUAGGGAAUUUUCGGCAAUGGGGGAAACCCUGACCGAGCAACGCCGCGUGAAGGAAGAAGUAUUUCGUUAUGUAAACUUCUGUCAUAGAGGAAGAACGGUGUUUAUAGGGAAUGAUAUCCGAGUGACGGUACUCUAUAAGAAAGCACCGGCUAACUACGUG